rnacentral:misc_RNA from 1 species
AUGCGGUCACCAUGGCUGCAGCUGCUGCUGCUUUUUGCAUACUUACUACUGGUACUUGUUGCCUCUUGCCUUCUUGAUCUGAUCCUUUGGUACCAACAUGGGCUGAGUCCUAUUCAGGUAGUCAAUCCCCUCCUGCUAAAGGUCCGGCAAAUCAAGCUUUUGUUGGAUAGUCGAGGUGUCAGUUACACAGAGUAUUUUGAGAAAAAUGAAUUAGUCCAAGUUUUGCAAGAUUCAGCGGAAGUAAUGAUGGGAGAAGUUGAACAAGUGUCGGCAAUAACUGUCCCGUUAAAAGAACGUUUGACUAGGCCACCUACUGCCAUUUCUCAUUUUACGGGAGGCGCCCACUUUUAUGAGCAGGUUGAGGACACCCGAGAUAGUGUUUGGCUUGUGCAAGUUGUGACUUCCAAUGAGCCCCUUCUUGAUGAUUAUAACUGGAGAUUGGUUUGUCACCAAUUGGAACCAUUUGGAAUAAGGAUUGGUAUUUUUGAUUGCCGGCAGGAUUAUAAGCUUUGUGAAACCAAAGGCUGGGUGGAACCUCUCCUACUUUUAGCCAUGCCCAAAGGGAGGAAAGCUAAAGACAAAGUCAUUUUGCAGCCUUUUACAUCCUCUAAACCCCAGGUCAUUGUUGAUUGGGUACAUCAACAACUGUCUUUAUGGGUGAAACGCAUACAGAGCAUUGAUGAAGUUGAAAAAGACUGGCUUGAUAUGAGCCAAAAUGUGACCAUUAAUACUAGUGGUUCAAAGGAAAAUGUAUUGUCUACACCAGAUGGCACAGGAUCAACAUCUGUCAGUGUUCUUCUUUUGACUCAGCUUCUACAGCCACCCCUAUUUUUGGCAGCUCUGAGCAUAAAAUUUACAGGACGUGUUAAUUUUGGAAUGUUAACUGUGAAGAAAGAGGACACUGAAACAGUUCGUAAGCGAUUGCGCUUGAAUGAUAGAAAGCUUCCUGUGUAUAUUGUGAUAACUCCUGAGAAGAAGGUUGUGUAUGGCUCAAGAAAGCUGGAGUAUUUUAACAUGUGGUCCAUGAAUGUAUUCCUUCGGGGAAUCCAGCCAGAGAUGAACGAUGUAUUUCUCUUUUCGCUUCUGCUUGUGAACAUGCUAGUGGGUCUUACAGUUUGUUUGACUUCAACCCACUUGUGGUUUCGAUGGGCUGUGUACUCACUUUGGGCUUUGGUCAAAUAUAACUUGUGGCUUUUUUCUGCGUGGUUGGUUUUUAUUGCAAUGGCACGAUUUGAGGUGUUUGGUCUUGUCAUAGACCGGUUGCUAUUAAUACUGCGAGUGGUUGGUCUUUCUGACUCGGGAUCCUUUGUGCGUACAGAACUAGCUGUGCUCACUCAAAAUCCUAUAGUAUUCCUCAUCAGCUUCAUUUCCUUUGUUUUGAGUGUGUCAGUUCUCAUUCGAUUCUUUGCUCCAUCUUGGCUGAUCUCUGCUCCCAAUGAUUUACCCAAUCAAAGACCAUGGUGGGAGGUUUUGCCAAUGGAUUCUUAUUGGGUUAACUACUUAUUUCGUCCAAUGGCCUCCCUGUCUCGCCCUAUGCCUACAAGUCAAACAGAACUGGAAGAUGGGAUUGAAAUGCUCAUUGAGAGACUAGCUGUUCCAAAUUUCUGGCUUCAGUCUGUUAUUCCUGUUGAUUAUAUCAAGGAUUUACCGGUUUGGAGAUAUCAUGGGUGGAAUGUGGUUGAGGAGCAACCCAUAUCGUCUGUCUGCAUCAGGGAUAAGUUGUUGCAUACUUCGACACCCAGGUUUUUAGAACACAUGAUGGAUGCCGAAGACCCUCCGAAUUUAAUCCCUUGCUGCUGUGUUUGUUCGGGAGAGGAUACUGGUGAUCAUUCUCCCAGAAUUUCUUGUUCUCAACACCUGACCCAUACUCACAACUCCACGGGCAGCUCUGAUUCCCUCCUGCAUCCUACAAAUGGCUGUUUGUGCUCUCAAGAACAAGUUCAUCCACAUUCCAGAGGUGGCUCCACUUAUACUCAGGAACACCCCAAUUUUCAUUCCAAUGGCUCUUCAAAGCCACCUUUUAAAAUCCCAAAUGCAGGAGCUAGUGAACAAUCAACCCAGUGCUUCUGUCCGUUAUUUCCUGGCUGGACCAAGAAAUCAAUUGGCAAUAGCAAAGCUCCAGGCAAAUGCCAAAAUUGUCGUGAUAGUUGUCACAAAAUCAGAGCUGGACGAACAAGUGGAUCAACGUGUAGUGCAAGUGCCCAGCAAAGUAGAAACUCAGUGUGGAAUAAUUGUAGAAAUUGCCAUUGGCUAGAAACAGACAUUGAGGAGAGUGAUAUAAGUGAUUCUGAGUCUACAAUUGGCUGGACUCUUCCUGAAGGAAUGCUAGCCACUACAGACUGUGCUGUUUGCUUGGAAUGUUAUAAUUAUGGGUCUGUGCUCUGUGGCCUUCCAUGUGGUCACAAUUAUCACCAGCGGUGCAUUUUGGCAUGGCUGCAACGAGAUAACCACCAUUGUCCAGUGUGUCGUUGGCCUGCAUACCGCACUAAAGCACAAAGGAUACAUUUACAUCAGGAGUAACAGAAACAGAGCUGUGGUUUAUGUAAUGCCCAGUUCAUGAAACACAAAGAAUCCAUCUUUUUGCUCUCAAGUUUGAGAGAGGUGAAAUGUAGAGAGAGAGAUUUAAUACCAUUUAAGGAAUCCUUCGCAUAAGCAUUGCAUUAAAUGUUGCACUUUUUUCUCCCCCCUCUCUCAGUAUGGUCUUUGGAAUCUAUUUCUACUAUUUGGUGGUUUCUUUCUUGUUUGAAAAUAUGCUACCAUGUUUGUAAAAUUGAACGUUACCAAUAUUCAGAUGUGAUAUUUGUUUAAGUUAUGUUCUUGUCAUUUUGCUAUGGUUUGUUUCUGCGUACAUUAGGAAACUACUCUAAGACAUUAUUUGGUGAAAAUUCAUUGAAAACAGUUUGAUUUUCAAUAGCCAUAUUAUUAUCUCGAAAUAUACUUCCUAAAAUUAUGA